GACGUGAAGACACCUGAGAGACCGAGGGAAAAGAUGAGCUCAGCUAAAUUCAAGAUAGAUGCCAGUUAGAAAAAAUAAUUAUGAGUAAAAGUUGAUACAUUACUUCAAGUUACACAGCAAAUGAAGUUUAUAGUGUUUGGGGGAUCCUGUGCUUCAUAUUGAGUUUAAUAAUUCGUCUAUUUUCGGUGAAGUUAUUUGUAUGCGGGUUGUUCUCUUCAUGGUCAAACUCUGUGAGAGAGAGACUUCAGUGGGCAGGAGGCCAGAGGAGCUCUGCUGCUGUUUGUGGAGGAGCCAUCCCAUCAUUUGGAUUCGGACGUGCUGCAGGCGUCACUUGGAUUUCAGUAGACACCAGCAUGCUGUGAGGACACAUUACUGAUGGACAUGUUGAAGCUACUGCUGGUCUCUGUGAGAGUGAAGUACCCGUUUG